GGCGUCGUUUUGAUGUUUGUCGUGCUUUGCCCUAAAAAUCCCAAUUUCCCAAUUUCGCAUCGUCUUCUUCUUCGUAAUUUCCCAAUUUCGAAUCGUCUUCUUCUUCUUCACGGCUCAGUAUUCAAAAUCUCAAUCUUCUUCUUCACGCUUGAGCUUCUGAAAUCUUCUUCUCCACGUCGUCGUUCGUCACGAUGUCGUCUCUUCACACUUCUCCGUCUUUGAAAAGUAACCAUCAAUUCUUCACUCCACUCGUCUUCGCCGUUCUUGACGUUGGGGAAGCCCUAUCCCACGCCCGUUCUUGAAGACAUUCGAAAUUUGUUUUCACACUCGUUCAAAAUCACCAUCGGGGAUUAAUUUCAUCUCUACACGCCUAUCUCUUCGCACUCGAUCUCUUCAUUCUGAAAAAUCCACUGAUUGAAGUCCUCCAAACAAACACAUUUUGUUUUCUGCCACAAACUAGAUUAGGUGCUUUGUUAUGUUAAAUUGAUGCUUUAAAACUGAUUUGGAUGCCUAUGAAAUUGUCUUGAGUUUUUUAGUUUUAUGGUUUCUUCAAGAUUGGAAUCUAUGUUUAGUGUAUGGUUGAUUAGAAUGAAGCAUAUAUAUUCUAUUAUAAAGUUAAAAUGAAGCACUGAGCUUCUGAUCGGAAAGCUUCCGUUUCAAGGUUUAGUUCGUGAAAUUGCUCAGGAUUUCAAAACUGACUUGAGGUUUUAGAGCAGUGUCAUCGCGACGCUUCAGGAGGCAGCCGAAGCCUAUUUGGUUGGUAUGUUUAAGGAUACGAAUCUUUGUGCUAUUCACACUAAGAGGGUAACCAUUAUGUCUAAGGAUAUUCAAUUGGCAAGGAGGAUUAGAGGGGAAAGAGCUUAGAGGAAUUGGCUUGAUUAUUGUGUUUUUAGAUUUUUACAUAUUAAGUGCUUUUUCUGUCUCUAGAUUUAGUCUAUGGUGUAAAUCUACUGUGUUUUUAUAUGUUGUCCCAUGCGUAUAUUGUGACCAUGUAUAUGGGACUCAACAAUCUGUUUGCUAAAUGAAUUAUCUCUUUACAUUUAUUAUCUCUAUCUAAAUUUGUUGUUUUCAAAUGGUAUGAGUAAAUAUUAUUUUGUUGUUGUUCUAGUGAAGUCGUAAGUUCAGUUAUGUUUUACCCUUUCUUGGGUUCCUAUGUUUUGAUAAUGUGAAUCAAGUUUUCGUUAACAACAAUCUCUGAUAUUUUACUACAUUGGCCUGUUGGUGUAUGAGGAUUGGGACUGCUAUUGAUUGAAGCCUAAGGUUGGACUGUUCUUGGGCUGAACAAUCACUUGUUAGAAGGUUUCAUUGAUAUCUCUAAUGAAAGUUUUAGUUUAGAAUAUAAAAUUUUGGGAUGCCUUAUGUGUAUACCUAUUGAUUUUCUUGACUUCCUCGGGACUUUGAGGUAUUGCAUCGACACAUUGUUUCACCAACCUUCUUUCCUUCUAUUUCACCUACACAUAAACACAAUUUUUGCAAUUUCUGACACGCAUACAAAAAAGAAGAGUAGAGAUAAACCUUAGAAAAUACAUAGAUAGAAAGAGAAACAAAAAGUUGCACAUUGCAUUUGCAAGUAUGCAAUGUGGGUACUGUGUUAGGAAGAUAGUGUAAGAAAGCAUGAGUUACUCUCAAUAUAAGUAGCAUCACUAAAAUAGAAUAUACAUGCUUCAUUUUAACUUUAGAAUUUUAUCUAUUUUUUUAACUUUAGAAGUUAAUUAUCAUUUUAACUUUCUAUAUCUUCUUGAUUGUGAAGGCACAUGGAUACCUACAUAAUAUUAUAAUGGUUUGUUUUAGUGUUCUCAAACUAAUAGUACCAUAAGUUUAAUAUGCUCAUUCAUCUCCAUUGAUUAGUUUUAAAUUUUGUUUAAAACUUGUAUACUAUGCUAAUUGUUUCUUGAUUUUGAUUGACAACCUUUGAUUCAUACAUAUCACAUGGACAAUUUAACUGACGAAGUACUUGGAGUUGAUGAGUUGAAUGAAACAUUUGGAAUUGAGGAUGAUGAACAUCUUGGUACUGAAACUUUAUGUAGACCACGAGGACCAACUAUUAUGUAGACCACGAGGACCAACUAUUAUGUUCGAUGUAACUCGCAUUAGAAGUUUGGGAGAGAAGAAGGUGGUUGUGUGAAACUUUACAUUGGUGGCCUAUAUGACGUACUUGUAUUCAGCUAUUCUUGGUUCGAAAGAAAAUGUACAGUACAUCUUUAUAGAUCCAUCCCUCACCUCUACCGGACACUCACAAGAAUCUCGAGUUCGAAACUUAUGCAGUAGAUUGAUGGUCUCAAAAAGUAACGAAAUAGUUCUUGCUCCUUUUAAUCCUGGGGGUCAUUGGGCACUGCUGGCCAUAAAUGCGUAUGAUGAUACAAUAUUCUACCUUGACUUCCUAAGGACAACAUCAAAGUCAACUACAAGAUAUAUAACCGACACGUACGUUAAUCUUCUAUAUCAUUUAGUGAAGAUUCUUAUAUGCAUGUACAAUAUUUAAAAAUUUGUUCAAUCUUAUCUUGUCAAAAGCGAUGUUUUAGUCACAAAAGAACAUGAAAAAAAGCAGAAAACAAACUUUAUGGCGAACAUUAAAGGCAAGUACAAACAUUUAAAGUCAUUAUAUUUUGUAGACUACUAGCAAUUAGGAUUACUUUUUGUUGAUUUUAUAUAGUGUCCUCUACAAGUUGAGAGUACAGAGUGUGGAUACUACGUCAUGAGGUAUAUGAGAGAAAUUGUGACUAGGGGAAGCAUUGUCAUAUCCGAUGCAAUUGAUACACGAAGAUCAUACUCACAGGUAGAACUAGAUGAGGUGCGAGUUGAGUUAGCUGACUUUCUGGGUUCGUACAUAUGAUUGUGACCAAUAAUUUGUGAUUCUGAAGUAGAAAAAUUCUUGUGGCGCUGCUUAUGAUAUGAAACUUUAUGUAUAGAAACUUUAGGUGAUAAUUCUUUUGAAUUGUUCAUAUGGGGGGAGGGGGUUGAUUGAUAUACUUUUGAUUAGAUUUAUUAUAACUAUCCUCUUUUGUGGCUUUCUAAGCUGAGCUGGAUUCGUGGCAAUCUAAUGGAAUAUUCAUAUCUAUGUAAAGUCAUAAAAUCUUCAUAUCUAUGUAAAGUCUCCGAAUUGAUUGUAUAUGAUAUAUGGAGAAUGGUUUUAUAUAUUUAUAUA